CUACGUGCCAGCAGCCGCGGUAAUACGUAGGUGGCAAGCGUUGUCCGGAAUUAUUGGGCGUAAAGCGCGCGCAGGCGGAUCAGUUAGUCUGUCUUAAAAGUUCGGGGCUUAACCCCGUGAUGGGAUGGAAACUGCUGAUCUAGAGUAUCGGAGAGGAAAGUGGAAUUCCUAGUGUAGCGGUGAAAUGCGUAGAUAUUAGGAAGAACACCAGUGGCGAAGGCGACUUUCUGGACGAAAACUGACGCUGAGGCGCGAAAGCCAGGGGAGCGAACGGGAUUAGAUACCCCGGUAGUCCUGGCCGUAAACGAUGGGUACUAGGUGUAGGAGGUAUCGACCCCUUCUGUGCCGGAGUUAACGCAAUAAGUACCCCGCCUGGGGAGUACGACCGCAAGGUUGAAACUCAAAGGAAUUGACGGGGGCCCGCACAAGCGGUGGAGUAUGUGGUUUAAUUCGACGCAACGCGAAGAACCUUACCAGGUCUUGACAU
rnacentral:rRNA from 1 species